AGAAAAAGAGCAUCAUGAGUCGUCAGACCACUGUGCCGUGUCAGUCCAUGAAUGCGACGUAAAAAAAAGUAAUCAGAAAAAUCCAAAGUUGUUAGUAUAAUAGAUAUGAACAUCUGGUUGUAAUGGCAGCUCCUUGUAAGAAAGAGCCUUUUUUCAAAGGUCAUAAUUAAUAACAAUAAUGCACACUUGUGGGAAUGAGUGCUUGGGAAAAUGUCGUUCCUUAGUAAAAGUUUCCCUCUCAUACCCGCACCGACCUUCACUGGGUUUGUUUUGCAUUUGUGAAUGGGCAUGUAUCUCUGCUGUUUCUGAAAUCCACUGUAUGCAUGCUUCCCCACAUGCACACCCAUACAUGCAGGCCUGCCAGAGCUCCUUGAAUUGAAGGAGGGAAGGCAGGACAAAGGAGUCCUUGUCAGUUCUGGGCAGAGUCACCGUGCCUGGACGCGGGGCUGGGUGCAUACAGCCGCAGAGGCUUCAUAGCCAGAAUAAAGCUUCCGCUAUCUAUGUAUGCCAGUAAGGGAGGGGGUUGUCUUAGCAGGGGUUGAGGUCAAAGUGUGUGAUCAGUGGCGUGCGCACAUCAGAGGCAACCCAGCUUUUACAGGCUUCUGAGGAGACACCUGCAGAGGGGACCUCUCAGCUGGGCCAAACCACACAGGGGGGGGAGGAGGGGCUUGUGUGGGAAGUAGCAAGGACACAGUCCAAGCUGCUGUGUGGAGAGAGAACCAGUCAGCCAACGCGUGUCUCCCUUUAAGGUCCACUCACAGGGUGAGGUGCCUGAAGGCCAAUCUGAGUGGAAGAUUUUCAGAUACUGCUGAAGAGGCAAAAAUUGCCUUAAUUUUUUUGUCAGGCAUUACUUUCCAUGUUAACAUGAAAACAGCUGAUGACAUGGUUAUGCAAAUGCUUUUGCACCUCUGGCUUUUUAAAAAAAUCUUUCAUCAAAUUCCCAGGCGGCUGUUAUUGAAAUAUUUCUAGUAAAACCUGGCAUAUUUCAUUUAAAAUUAAGAAAAGUGCACAACAAAAGUGCACGACGAUUGAAACUUUACAAGAAAAUAUUUGGCGUACGAGAUAAACGUUCCUGAUCAUUUCCCCCGUUGCGUGCCUGUUGUCACAGCGUAAUCUGAUUGGCUGGAUGCAUUAUGCGCCGCGAUCUGAAUGCCAGAUUUGACGAAUUAAAAUGCUGCGAGGGUAAUACGGCGUGUCAUUCUGAGUUCAGCGGCGGCGUUAACACGAAUGAUCGCGGUUUAUUCCGGGUAUCUCCUAGACGCGGCUGCCGUUCGACGCGACUCCCGGCAGACCGUGCCUUGUUCCCGCCGCGCAGUGCUCACCAGUGUAUGAUGGGAUGCUCUUCGGCCGCCAAGACGGGGAGGCCGCUGUUCGUGUGAAGACAAAACACGAGGUAAAUUCGAUUCUCUCCCCUCGCUGCAUGGCAGACCGCAGUCCUAUUUAUAAUUACACUGUCCUCUGUGGCAUCGUAUAUAUUAUUUUGCUUCAUUAUGCUACAGACAUAACAAUGAUUUAUUUACUUUUCUCACACUCCAAAUCACUCUGACAUGUUUUCCCUGUUAAUAUCUGUCCUUAGGUCAAUCUCUGUAUUACUAAGUUUACUUUUCUUACACUUGACGUCACUUUCGCACGUUUUCCAUCUUUAUGUCUGUCCUUAGGUCACUCUGUAUUAUUAAGAAUAUCUGUGAUUACGUAUCACGUUACAGUCACAAUACGUAAUCUCAAACGAAAACCUGUAUACCUGUGUCUAAAUGUGAGAACUGAGUUGUUUUUUCUAUAUUCAGUUACUCUCUUUUCUUAUCUAUAUAAAAAACCUUUUUAGUGUCGUGAUCAGUUAAAUGUGAUGGUUUGGGGCAGGUUUCUCAGUUUGCUGUUAAUAAGUGUUCAUGGGUGGGAUAAGUGUUGCUUAUAAUUCAUUAAUUACAAUAAAGAUGUCUUCUUAGUGUUACCCACCUGGGGGAAAGACACUCUCUCGAUUUCCAGAGCCUGGCAGGUGCCCGUCCUGGACUUUUUUUGGAAACAUCCUAGGACUCAUCUGACAGAUUGGAGACACAUCACAGGCUUUGUACAUACAUCUGGCCUUCAAACAAAAGUGUCUACAAACAGAGACGGAGUAAGUGUGAGAGAGAGGGAAUCUGCCAUCCCAUGCCAACAUGUAAAGCAGGAGCUGGAGGCCAGUUUGCAGAGUGCAUUAUUCGCCACACGCUGAGCUCACAAGCAUGAAGACUGACUGCUGAAAAUAAGUCAAAGGAUAGUAAAUGGCCUGCUUAUCAGGACGCUGUCGUUUCCUUGGGCCGUCUGGGCAUUAUUGACUUUGGGGCUGACAGAAAGCUUGGGCAUGGGCAUGAAUUUAUAAAUGUGUGCAUUUAUGAAGGAUACACUGGUUGUUCCAGGAAAUAUAAAGGUAAAUGGAUGGCUGGAGAGAAGUUCCAGAAGAGUCAUGCAGCAGCAGCCAGGGGAGACUCAAAGAAAGGCUUUUGAUCAAAAUCACAUCUCUGUUAAGAUUUUUUUUGUUUGUUUCCUGGUUUUCACUCAAUCAGUUGUUUUUAAUUAGACUUGGCUCAACCAUGCCCUCCCGGCUCCAAACAUCCAGCCAGAUGUGUUGUGCAGGGUGUCCACUUCACCCACAACAUCCCUGCCAAGACCAUUUCUUUCUUUACGCAUUGCAAGUCACAUGAUAUGGAGGAUCCAGAUCUGAUUGGAUGAGCUGAACAACUGGCAAGUUGGAAGUGCCCCACCGCUCUGUAACAGCCAAUUAAGCAGCAGUCAGCUGAGACCCUCUGGCUGACAUUAACGGCUGGGUAGCUCCAAUUACACAUCCCCUGCUGUGGUACCUCCGGUCAUGCUCACCGCGAUGACUUUAGAGAAAGAGAAGUGAGUCGGCGUGAUGCAGCAUGCAGGAUGAGCAGAAGAGUGGGUAUGGAAUGCCGUGCUGUACCACUGCUCCCAUUAUCCCAGUCCCACUCCAAUGACAAGGACUGUGCUACAUUGCUAAACAGGAAUCUGGGAAGGAUUGGGGAGAUGCUCUGGCCAGAGGCAGGAACCGGAAAGCCAGCCAGUUUAAUGCACUGAAGGUUCUGCAGAGAGGACUGUCAGAUCUCGAGCACUGACUGUACUGUACUAAGAACUCCGUAGUUCAUCGAUGCUCUCAGAUGGGUUUACGAUAGCGAUGGCCGCUCUAAAAAAGGCGGUCGGCAGCCUCAGCUCCUGGCGCCUCUCCUCCCUGCAUCUGGCCUCUCACUGUCGCCAUCUGCUUUACGCCAGGACAGUAGGGGGUGGCGGUAUAUGAGGCCUGGCCUGGGGGCCGUGUGGGUGGCCCCAUGCCCAGACUACCACAAGGGGAGCGACUGCCGGGGGGGGGGGGGGCGAAUCCAACACCAUCCCAAGUUCUGUGCCGCCUGGCAGUCAAGGCCGUCCGGGUGCUCUGGUGAAUUCGUCUUCCGCAACCAUCAUGGUGCAAAAGAGAAUGUUGAGCAGACCCAAAUUCUGAAUGGGGGGGGGGGGGCAGGUCUGGUGGUGGUAUUUUGCUGGUACAAUAACAUAGAUUUUCUGUCUGACUGGUAAUGGCAAUCUCAUUAGAGCGUAUUACUUCCAAAUCAAAUGUAAUCUCCCUCUCACUUGAAGUGGAUGGAUUCUCCUGAAGUGCCGUUAAUGUGCGACGCUAUGAGACCCAAUCCCUUUAUUUGAAAAAUUAAAAAAUGGGAAAAUGCAGAGUCACCUACAUUCUACAUGAUCAAAUGAACACGCAAGCGACAUUUUUUAACAUGGUGCCCAUCGCAUAAUUUUUAUGCUGCCAGUACUAAUGUGAUGUUUAGUUUUUAUGUGUAUAGAGGGUUAUGGGUAAUAUGAUCAGUAGAGAAACUGAUCAUAUUACCCAUAUGGUGUAAUAGGUGUAAUGAUGGAUGAGCAUUUUUAAAUGUUUUUUCGCUGCCUUUUUCUGACAAUGGUCAUCAUGCUUGUACUAUUCCAUCUUUAACGUAACCAAGACCAACAGAAGGAAUUGGAUAAAGACCGUGUGACAGUUGCUGGAAAAACUCCACGCAGUGCUUAAUUAAAAUUGGAUUGGAGUUGAACAAAAUAAAACCAGCAUGAUGAUGCAGUGCUAUAGAUUCAUGCAGUUCUGCUGCAGUGUGGCAGCCUUUUAAUUUCUUCCGCCAGUAAUCUUCUCGUCUCUGCUAUUAUAGAUUGAAGAUCAUGAAAAUAAUCUUGUCGUUUACGUGGAUGUCACGUUUAUCCCCAGUCACAUGACUGGCCAUGCAAGGAUUUCUUUUCUUAUUUGAUCUUGUAGUGUUUGCUUAUGGAGAUGUUUUGUGAAUUGUUUCCUUUUACAGACGGUUAUGUUUAGAAGCUUAGCUGCGUGAAAUGAUUGCACUGUGCUUGCUGAUAAAGCUGCUCAUUGCUUAACUUUUUAUGUGUUUCUGUCUCCUCUUGAUUGGAGGAUACCUUGGGGAGACAGAGCUUGAAGCAUCAAAAUAAAGGUCAUAUCACUGGAUACCAACAGAAUUUAUUUAACGGUGCCUUCCUUCGAUUUGAUUAACCAAUAAAACACCGUUUUAUGUAACGUGA